AUGAGCUCAAGUGUGCCCCAGAAGGGAAAUGUUUCCAUUGUUUCAACACGGACUAGUUUAUGGGAGGUGCUGGAUGACUCCUCAGUGAUGGCAUCCCAUCUGUUUGAUUCUAUUCUCCAGACCAAGCACUUGGAAGGAGCAACCCCUGCUUGUCUGGAACAAUGUGUAGAAGGUAUGAGGGCAGAGAGCUAUUCAUGACAGAAUGUGGUCACGGUUCAAGUCAGCACAGCUGAACAAGGCAUAAAGUGCCAGGAACUUGGCUCUAUAGUCUCUCAGGGUUUGCUUGACCUCCUCUCUUGUCUCGAGUCCAGUAGAAAAGUAUUUAAUUGUCUCCUUAGGCCUUUAUUAACCAAAAGAAAGGUAGAUCAUUUGGCAUGCUGGCACUAAAUAAGGGACAUUUAAAAAUCUGCUGUAAUACUUUUUGUUAUCUCAGUGACCACUACCCCUGCUGCUGACAGGGACCACAAGCGCUACACCUUUUGCAGUGCACAGAACAGUACCUCAUACAUCAAAGGAUUGUUCUGAAUGUUCUAUAGGGCAUCCAUGUUGAUGGAAAACCUAUUAUAACUUUUGAACCUAAUAGCUUUAUUUAUAUACAACCCUAUGACAUUUGUGCAUGGUUUUAAUAUACACUGACUGUUCCUAAGGUGCAACCGGACAAGUCCUAUGGUUAUGGAGAGACAGCUGUGCCUUGAUGUCUUGUACAACACAGUAACUUGAUAUUUUUAUACAAUAUAAAGUUAUUAUAAAACAUGGACUGAAAUACUUUAAUAUCAAAGUCAAUUUAAAUAAUGUUGAAUGAUACUCUUCAAAGCAACAAAGGCAAAGCUAAAAUCUAUUAGCAAUAUUCCUGUUCUUCAAAAUAAAUUCAAGCAAACCAACAUACAAUUAAUGUUUCAGCUGAGGUAACAGGAACAAAUUCUGAGUCCCAUAACAAAGCACCCGAGUCAGAGGAUAGCUCUGUUACCUGUGACGUUCUGGGCUCUUUCUUACCUCUUUUAAGAUCCCGUGUGCCUCGAUUUUGCUUUUAGAAUUGUCUGAAAUUCCUCAGAUUCCAGGUAGGCAAGUUGCUCUCUCCUUUUUUCUUGGCAGGCUCCAAUUCAUCCUCAGCUAGAGCAGAAUGAAAAGUGUGAGCUGUCACAGAGGAACUGCAGAGUCAGUGUGCCUCACCA
rnacentral:lncRNA from 1 species